AAAUUGAAGAGUUUGAUCAUGGCUCAGAUUGAACGCUGGCGGCAGGCCUAACACAUGCAAGUCGAACGGUAGCACAGAGAGCUUGCUCUCGGGUGACGAGUGGCGGACGGGUGAGUAAUGUCUGGGAAACUGCCUGAUGGAGGGGGAUAACUACUGGAAACGGUGGCUAAUACCGCAUAACGUCGCAAGACCAAAGAGGGGGACCUUCGGGCCUCUUGCCAUCAGAUGUGCCCAGAUGGGAUUAGCUUGUUGGUGAGGUAACGGCUCACCAAGGCGACGAUCCCUAGCUGGUCUGAGAGGAUGACCAGCCACACUGGAACUGAGACACGGUCCAGACUCCUACGGGAGGCAGCAGUGGGGAAUAUUGCACAAUGGGCGCAAGCCUGAUGCAGCCAUGCCGCGUGUAUGAAGAAGGCCUUCGGGUUGUAAAGUACUUUCAGCGGGGAGGAAGGUGUUGUGGUUAAUAACCACAGCAAUUGACGUUACCCGCAGAAGAAGCACCGGCUAACUCCGUGCCAGCAGCC
rnacentral:rRNA from 1 species